rnacentral:lncRNA from 1 species
AAACGUGGUCCCAGACAUUGGCCCACCAAGCUGAAAAGAAGACAGGCUUUGUUUGCCAGACAGAAGAGUGAAUCCCAUAUGUGCCCUACUCCUGCUGUAUUCUCAAACCAAAAGCACCAAAGGUUCACUUGAUUAGAUCAGAGGAAACAAAAUGAGGGUCCAAAGGGCAUGUGGCAACAAGCAGCUGGGAGGUACAUGAGGAGCUACUAGGUGGCCUGGGGGCUAGAUGACUGGACACUGCACACAGAGCUGGCU